rnacentral:lncRNA from 1 species
CACAGGAAGGUGGGGACCCUGAACUGGGGCAGGGGUGGCUCCAGGGUCACGGGGCGAGCGCGUGAGGACACGCCCGCCCGGGGAUUCCAAGACUCGGUGUCUUCUUUCCGCCGGAGGCUCCUGCCCCCGCGGCCCGGGGGAGGGGGCGGGGAGGAGCCGAGCGGGGCUGGGCGGCCGGGCCGGCGUCCCGGUGGCGGUGCCUGGCGGCCGCGCCCUCCAGAGCCACCCGUGUGGAGCCGCGCGUCCCGGCCGCUGCGGGCACUCCCUCCCGCCUCCGGCCCCGGGGGCCCGGCACGUUCCGGGCCGCGAUCUCCGGUUUGCCGGCCGUCCCGCCGCCGGACCCGUGCCAUCCCGGACCCGAGGACGCGCUCCGGCCGCCGCCGUCUCCGCCCGCGGGAACUUUCCGCAGACCCGACACGAGCCCGCGGCGGUGCGGGCAGCGGGUGUUCAGAGCAGCCGUGCGGACCCGAGGUGAGUGGGGUCUUCGGGCGCCGCCGGCUUACGCGCUGCCGCUGCCCAGAUUCCUCCCAGCUGCCCUGCCGUCAUCCCCUCUCCUUCCUCCUUUCCCCGCCGCCAGCGCUUGGGCAUCUCGCUCUUCUCCCUCUGGCCGCCCCUGGGCUCUGGGGGCCUCCGGCGCUCGGUCCCGGGCCGCGGGGAAGCCAGAGCUCGGAGGACGGGGCUUCUCGCCGCGUCCCUGCUCGCGCCGUCGGCCUCUGCCGCCCCUCCGCUCUCCAGGGCAGCGGUCAGGCCCGGGGCCGGGCCACCGCGCCCCGCCGCGCGGGAGCAGCGGGUUAUCUGUCCAACUUGGCAAAGCCUCGCGGGGAAGACCGCCAGGAGCUGGAGUUGGGGGGUGGGGGGGUCCAGCCUGGUCUGUCACCAGCAGUUUCUCCAACUGUGAAGACAAACAACCUUUGCCUACACAUCAAAUGGAAAAAGGCAUCUGCGCAGAGUAGCCCGGAGCCAGGCCGCCUUUCCAGGCUCCCUCCUCCUCCUUCUGAGGACUUGGAGGUUUCAAAGGCCAGUCCUCUCGCACCCCUCGCUCCCUCCACAAGCCCCUUCCGGUUAGAGGUUGUCCCUCACCCUUGCGCCUGGCUCCGCUUACUGAGCCCAAGAGGGAGCCGUUUGAACCAUAAAAACCCCAACCCCGACGACUCUCGAGGUUGUUUUCGGAUGAGUGGCCAGGCUGGGUGGGCUCUUGUUCGCGCGGAUCCCCUGGUUCCUUCCUGA